UCAAACUUAGUUAAAAUAUUUAAAAAAUUAAAAACAACAACAACAAAAAAAAACUAUUUACAAGUAAGAUAAAUUAUAUGAGAUCUUUAAUUUAUAUAUAAUAUAAUUUUAUUCUGUUCUAAUAUCUGUGUAAUGCUAGUUUAAAAUAUUAUUUUUUAAUAUAUUGAUUUUUUAUAUUAGGUAGGUGCCCAUUCUGUUCCUAUCUUCAGAAGUUAUUUAUACCUAUGCAAUACCUUCGCUCAGGUUAAAGAAUGGAAUACUAGUCUUGCAUCAAAUAUAUUUUACAUAUCCAUUCGAUGUUUAUCACCAGAAGUUAGUUCUACCUUUGCAGUACCUCUGCUCUACAUACCUCCUCGCUGGUUAAAGAAUGGAAUAUAAAUCUCAUAUCAAGUUGGUGUAAAAAUUUAGUUCAAUAAAUUAAGAAUUUGUAAA